GAUGAACGCUGACAGAAUGCUUAACACAUGCAAGUCGAUGGGGAAGUGGUGCUUGCACCAUGGCAACCAUGGCGGACGGGUGAGUAACGCGUAAGGGACUUACCUGCAGGACUGGGAUAACAGGGGGAAACUCCUGACAAGACCGGAUAAUGUCAUGGAGCUGCAUGGCUUUAUGAUGAAAGGAGACGCCUGCGGAGAGCCUUGCGUCCUAUUAGCUAGUUGGUGAGGUAAUGGCUCACCAAGGCGAAGAUAGGUAGCCGGCCUGAGAGGGUGGACGGCCACAAGGGGACUGAGAUACGGCGCUGACUCCUACGGGAGGCAGCAGUGGGGAAUAUUGGACAAUGGGGGCAACCCUGAUCAAGCAAUUCUGUGUGCACGAAGAAGGUUUUCGGAUUGUAAAGUGCUUUCAGCAGGGAAGAGGUAAGUGACGGUACCUGCAGAAGAAGCGACGGCUAAAUACGUG
rnacentral:rRNA from 1 species